UUAGAAAUUAAGGAGAAAUGAUGAAUAUCCUCCUCUUCUUCAAAGUCAAUCAUUGACACUAGCAGUACCAUUUAAAGAACAAAACUUCCAUCGACCUCCAAGUGAAAGAAUUGGAAAUAACUAUUCUCCUUUAGCUAAAGAAUUAAAAAUUCCACUUCUAAGAAAACAUAAAAAAUUGUAUAUACGAAAAUUUUUAAAUUAUGAAGAAAGCAAAAUUUUCAACUUAACAUCAACAAAUCUGGAAGAACAAUGUAGAAUAAAUCUCCUGAGACCAUUAAGUCCAUUGAAGAAAAAGAAGAUUUUGGAAAAAUUGGAAUAUUGUUUUAAGAAGGAACUUUCAAAAGAAGAUAUAAAGAGAUAUUAUUACUACAUCAAAUUUGGAAUUGAUGAUAAAAUGAUUAAUCCAUAUCCUUUCAAUAUAAUGAAAUUUUUAUCAAAAUUACUACAUCCAAAAUUUAAAAAAUUACCAGAAUUUAAACAAUGUGUAGAAGAUUUAAGUAAAGAAAUAGAAGAUAUUUAUAUGCAUUCAAUGAAAAUGU